GGGGGAAUAUUGGGCAAUGGGCGCAAGCCUGACCCAGCAACGCCGCGUGAGGGAAGAAGGCUUUCGGGUUGUAAACCUCUGUCCUUGGUGACGAAAAAAAUGACGGUAGCCAAGGAGGAAGCCCCGGCUAACUACGUGCCAGCAGCCGCGGUAAUACGUAGGGGGCGAGCGUUGUCCGGAAUUACUGGGCGUAAAGGGUGCGUAGGUGGCCUUUUAAGUUGGAUGUGAAAUACCCGGGCUUAACCUGGGGGGUUGCAUCUAAUACUGGGAGGCUAGAGUGCAGGAGAGGAAAGCGGAAUUCCUAGUGUAGCGGUGAAAUGCGUAGAUAUUAGGAGGAACACCAGUGGCGAAGGCGGCUUUCUGGACUGUAACUGACACUGAGGCACGAAAGCGUGGGGA
rnacentral:rRNA from 1 species